rfam:Leptotrichia sp. oral taxon 847, complete genome.
GUCUCCGUAGCUCAGCUGGUUAGAGCAUCUGACUGUUAAUCAGAGGGCCGUUGGUUCAAGUCCAACCGGGGACG